AGCUGUCACAGAGUUCAUCUUUAUUUACACAAUCUACUGGAAGGACCAGAUUCUUCCCUCGGCGGUGUGUUCAAGGACACUUUGAAAAGUGGACACAGGAUUUUAUCGGCUUCAAUCGGCAGUGAUGGAAAAGUGACACCCGGGUGAAGGCGCCACUUUGGCAAAGGCAGCGAGGACUGUGGGAGGAAACUGGAGAACCCGGAGGAAACCCACGCAGACAAAGGAAAAACAGAGAGACCCAGACUAAACCGGGAUUCGAACCAGGAAGGCGACCA